rnacentral:sRNA from 1 species
UGCUGCAGCCCUCCUUGGGCGUUUCCUCCCUAGACUUGGGCCGUCCGGCGAUGCCGGGCGGUCUUUUUUUUUCGGCGA